rnacentral:rRNA from 1 species
GACGAACGCUGGCGGCGUGCUUAACACAUGCAAGUCGAACGGAAAGGCCCUGCUUUUGUGGGGUGCUCGAGUGGCGAACGGGUGAGUAACACGUGAGUAACCUGCCCUUGACUUUGGGAUAACUUCAGGAAACUGGGGCUAAUACCGGAUAGGAGCUCCUGCUGCAUGGUGGUGGUUGGAAAGUUUCGGCGGUUGGGGAUGGACUCGCGGCUUAUCAGCUUGUUGGUGGGGUAGUGGCUUACCAAGGCUUUGACGGGUAGCCGGCCUGAGAGGGUGACCGGCCACGUUGGGACUGAGAUAAGGCCCAGACUCCUACGGGAGGCAGCAGUGGGGAAUAUUGCACAAUGGGCGGAAGCCUGAUGCAGCAACGCCGCGUGCGGGAUGACGGCCUUCGGGUUGUAAACCGCUUUCGCCUGUGACGAAGCGUGAGUGACGGUAAUGGGUAAAGAAGCACCGGCUAACUACGUG